GAUCCUGGCUCAGGAUGAACGCUAGCUACAGGCUUAACACAUGCAAGUCGAGGGGAAACGACAUCGAAAGCUUGCUUUUGAUGGGCGUCGACCGGCGUACGGGUGAGUAACGCGUAUCCAACCUGCCCAUCACUUGGGGAUAACCUUGCGAAAGUAAGACUAAUACCCAAUGACGUCUCUAGAAGACAUCUGAAAGGGAUUAAAGAUUUAUCGGUGAUGGAUGGGGAUGCGUCUGAUUAGCUUG
rnacentral:rRNA from 1 species